rnacentral:rRNA from 1 species
AACGAACGCUGGCGGCAGGCUUAACACAUGCAAGUCGAGCGCCCCGCAAGGGGAGCGGCAGACGGGUGAGUGACGCGUGGGAAUCUACCCAUCUCUACGGAAUAACGCAUGGAAACGCGUGCUAAUACCGUAUACGUCCUUCGGGAGAAAGAUUUAUCGGAGAUGGAUGAGCCCGCGUUGGAUUAGCUAGUUGGUGGGGUAAAGGCCUACCAAGGCGACGAUCCAUAGCUGGUCUGAGAGGAUGAUCAGCCACACUGGGACUGAGACACGGCCCAGACUCCUACGGGAGGCAGCAGUGGGGAAUAUUGGACAAUGGGCGCAAGCCUGAUCCAGCCAUGCCGCGUGAGUGAUGAAGGCCCUAGGGUUGUAAAGCUCUUUCACAGGUGAAGAUAAUGACGGUAACCGGAGAAGAAGCCCCGGCUAACUUCGUGCCAGCCGCCGCGGUAACAC